CAACUUCAUUGCGCGAACGCGGGGAGAAAUCCGUGAGGAAAGUCCGAGCAUCACAGAGCGGGGUAGCUGCUAACGGCAGCCGAGGGCGACCUUAGGGCAAGUGCAACAGAGAUAUACCGCCGCGAAAGCGGUAAGGGUGGAAAGGCGAGGUAAGAGCUCACCGGAACGCGGGAGACCGCAGUUCCCUGUAAACCCUACCCGGUGCAACGCUUAAUUGGUACGAAGGAAAACGCGUCUGCUCGGCGCGCUUCGGAAUAAGCGGCUUGAUUCUUCGGGCGACCGAAGAGGUAGAUAAAUGUUCGUGCGCGACAUAACUCGGCUUACAGAUGAAGUUGCUUU
rnacentral:RNase_P_RNA from 1 species